UUUUCAUUUUUGGAAACACAUGGAUUUUCAUCAAUACUGAAAUUCAAGUAGUUUCACCGUAAAAUGACAUGUUUAUAACGACUUUCGCCUCUAGGGCGCAGCCAUGUUUUAAAAACGCAGGCGCUACGUCAUCAGAAUGGUUGGCUCUUUAAAAUAAACAUGUCGGAUAUUGGAAGAAGAACAGGGGGGUCCUUUUGUAUUGCCCCUGGCUGUUCAAACAAAUUUUAUCGGUUAAAGGAGAGCGGUAGAAUAGUUCAUUUCCAUGUAAUUCCCGUCAAGAAGCCUGAAGUGCUCCGAAGAUGGUUAGCUGCAUUGAAACGCCUCAGCCCCCCAAUGGGACCAGGGCAGAGAGUAUGUAGCGACCACUUUAUAGAGGCUGAUUACAUCGAAGAGGGAGCUUUUUCUGAAGAUGGGAGAUUUGUUCGCCGUCCCACCAAUCGCCUGAAGCCAGAUGCUGUGCCAACUAUUUUUAAUUUUAGUGGAUAUAGUGCUGGAGACACGGACAUACCCGUCAGAUCGGACCCGGGCGCUGCUCUUAUGCGCAGCGAAAGAGCGCAGAAACGUGCUUGCCAGGCAGAGGAACGAGAGGUUCAUUUCAUGGCAGCAGACACUCUCCAUGUCAGUGGACAUAGGGACACAAACCCCACACAAGCACCACCGAUUGUUUCCUGUGCGCUCAGAUACAUCUCUCUCUCCUUCAUCUAUUUCUCCUCCAUAGUCAGGCUCUGUU